rnacentral:rRNA from 1 species
GAUGAACGCUGGCGGCGUGCCUAAUACAUGCCAGUCGAGCGAACGGACGAGAAGUUUGCUUCUCUGAUGUUAGCGGCGGACGGGUGAGUAACACGUGGAUAACCUACCUAUAAGACUGGGAUAACCUCGGGAAACCGGAGCUAAUACCGGAUAAUAUUUUGAACCGCAUGGUUCAAAAGUGAAAGACGGUCUUGCUGUCACUUAUAGAUGGUUCCGCGCUGCUUUAGCUAGUUGGUAAGGUAACGGCUUACCAAGGCGACGAUGCGUAGCCGACCUGAGAGGGUGAUCGGCCACACUGGAACUGAGACACGGUCCAGACUCCUACGGGAGGCAGCAGUAGGGAAUCUUCCGCAAUGGGCGAAAGCCUGACGGAGCAACGCCGCGUGAGUGAUGAAGGUCUUCGGAUCGUAAAGCUCUGUUAUUAGGGAAGAACAGAUGUGUAAGUAACUGUGCACAUCUUGACGGUACCUAAUCAGAAAGCCACGGCUAACUACGUG